CUGAAUUUUCCAUUCAGUUUUUCCAUUCAGCUACUGCCCCCAAAAGCAGUAGCCAGCUGUGCUCUGUCUUCAGUAAUAUGGGAAUUGAAAUGCCUUGAUAGGAAGUUUGAGGUUGGAUCGCUGAAAUAAGUUUUGCCUGUGGCUGUUGCGGAAAAUUCCAUGUGGAUGUGCAAGCUUAUCAUCUGAUCUUCCAAGAUGCUGCUUGAGCCUAUUACCUAAUAGAGACACAAGAAAAUGGCCCAUCUGUUUGCAGUGGGCAAAUGUGUGAGUACUACUCUCUGGGG
rnacentral:lncRNA from 1 species